CAGUAGCCGCGGUAAUACGGAGGGUGCAAGCGUUAAUCGGAAUUACUGGGCGUAAAGCGUGCGUAGGCGGCUUUUUAAGUCGGAUGUGAAAUCCCUGAGCUUAACUUAGGAAUUGCAUUCGAUACUGGGAAGCUAGAGUAUGGGAGAGGAUGGUAGAAUUCCAGGUGUAGCGGUGAAAUGCGUAGAGAUCUGGAGGAAUACCGAUGGCGAAGGCAGCCAUCUGGCCUAAUACUGACGCUGAGGUACGAAAGCAUGGGGAGCAAACAGGAUUAGAUACCCCAGUAGUCCCUGUCUCUUAUAA
rnacentral:rRNA from 1 species